rnacentral:lncRNA from 1 species
GUGAAUGAGUGAAUUAUUGUCUUACUAGAUAUUCUAAGAGAUGGUGGACGGAUCGAGUACAUAAAAAAUUCUAUCGUAAAUGUUACCUCAUACCGGACGGGGUAUCAAUUGUAGUAACAGGAUGUAAAGAGAAAAAAAAAAGAAAAAGAAAAUUUCUGGCAUGUAUGUAUAUAUGUGUAUAUAGAGAUAGUUAUAGAGUGAAACAGUGCCGUUUGGAGAAGAGGAUGAGGAAACAAUGUCAUUUGGAGGAAACGACGUCGUUUGGAGAAGAGGAGGAGGAAACG